GAUGAACGCUGGCGGCGUGCCUAAUACAUGCAAGUCGAGCGAACGGACGAGAAGCUUGCUUCUCUGAUGUUAGCGGCGGACGGGUGAGUAACACGUGGAUAACCUACCUAUAAGACUGGGAUAACUUCGGGAAACCGGAGCUAAUACCGGAUGAUAUUUUGAACCGCAUGGUUCAAAUGUGAAAGACGGUCUUGCUGUCACUUAUAGAUGGAUCCGCGCUGCAUUAGCUAGUUGGUAAGGUAACGGCUUACCAAGGCAACGAUGCAUAGCCGACCUGAGAGGGUGAUCGGCCACACUGGAACUGAGACACGGUCCAGACUCCUACGGGAGGCAGCAGUAGGGAAUCUUCCGCAAUGGGCGAAAGCCUGACGGAGCAACGCCGCGUGAGUGAUGAAGGUCUUCGGAUCGUAAAACUCUGUUAUUAGGGAAGAACAUAUGUGUAAGUAACUGUGCACAUCUUGACGGUACCUAAUCAGAAAGCCACGGCUAACUACGUG
rnacentral:rRNA from 1 species